CGCGAAGGCACCAGCCCCUGGUCCCUGGGGUGGCCGCGGGGUUGGGGUGGGGAGGCUGGUGGCACCUGGUGGCACCCGGCGGGCCCCGCUGGCCGCCCGCCCCGCGGCGAGGCCGGCUCCCCAGGCACAAUGCCGCGGCCCCGCUCCUGAGCCGGGAGCUGAAGCCCCUUUCCCAGCGCCGAGCGCCUUUGUCUCGCCUUUGUGAUGGAAAGAGUCCCUCCUAAAUCAAUGCCAUGACACCGGUAUUGUCUCCUCGCUAGGAGUUUUUAAACUUUUCCCCCCCGAGGUCAGGAAUGUGGCCGGUUUCUAUUGGGACGGAGGAGCACGGGUGGGUGGGGGGCUGCGGGGUCACGCUGGCUCCGCGGGUCAGCCGAAAACAAAACCUUUUGAAAUACCUACUCUCCAUCACUGCCAACAUUGUCCCCUGCCAGCAGGGGCCUGGCACGGCCCUUCAAUGCCUCCAGCCCGGCCGCUGUCCACCCCAGCGGUCAGCAUCUGGGAACGGACAGAAGGGCAUUGUGCGGGGACAGCUUUGUUUUCGGUCACAGCUGCCCGGGCUGGGACGGGGCCCGACCCAAAGUCCUGGUGGGUGGGAGAGGAAGGAGGGGACGGAGGGGACGGAGGGGACGGCAGCGCACGGGUCAGCGCGUCGUGGGGGGACCCGUCCCGUCGGUGCCAGCCGGGGCACCCCAAUGUCCCUCCGAGAGGGCGCAGCAGGGGACGGAGCAGCGCGCCCUGCCGGGGUGCACCGGGGUGCUGGCACGGCCGCAUCCUGCGCAGUGGGGCCGGGACAGCCUGGGGUCGGGGCUGGGAACCAGGAGAUGCGCUGGUGGCAUCCUCCCAGCUCCCAGCCUCAGUCCCCCCUUGCUCAGAGGUGUCCCAGUGCCCCCGCUGGGUCCCCUUCGGGAGGAUGCUGGCCUGGCACCGCUGAUAGGGGCCAGCCUGAGCGGUGCUGUUUUGGGGCUGAGCACCCUGUGCCACCCAUGGGGAUGGAGCCUGGUUGCUGGGAGGCUGCAGCACGGCCGUGCCCAUGGAGCAGGGCAUCCCUGAGCCCAGCAAGGGGCGACGGGGCCCUGGGCGAGGCUUCCCCUCCCCACUGCUUGCAGCCCCCAAAAGCACCCCCAGCACCUCCCAGCCGGCAAGGGGUGGCAUCCAGGGGCUCAGCGGUGAUUUUCUGCCCCAUCCCCAGUAAAAAUCCCCCCGGAUCCUCCAUCCAGCACGGGGAUGCUGCCCCAGGUGGCCGGAGCAGCCUCCCUCUCCUCUCACGGGGCAUUCCUUGGGUG
rnacentral:lncRNA from 1 species